rnacentral:misc_RNA from 1 species
GUUAAAUAAUCAAUCUGCAGGAGAGGAAUGUCUGCAUCUUUAGAAGCCAGGUUUUAUCGUCCACUCCGCUGUGGAAUAUAUGGUCUUCUGCUUCAGGGCCUCUCAAAGGAGACUCUGAGUUUGAUUUAAGGCUUUGCUUUUACAAUCUUUUACUUUUGCUAUCCAUUUUGUACAUCAUUUAAAGUUGGAGGUACCUUAUUCUCCAACUCUUUCCUUGAUGUAAUUUAACAUCUACAAUAAAAC